GUGUCAGCCGCCGCGGUAAGACGGAGGGGGCAAGCGUUGUCCGGAAUUACUGGGCGUAAAGCGCUCGUAGGCGGUCGCAUACGGCGAUGGUGAAAGCUCCCGGCUCAACUGGGAGAGGCCCGUCGCAACGGUGUGACUCGAGGGUGGUAGAGGCAGAUGGAAUUCCUGGUGUAGCGGUGAAAUGCGUAGAGAUCAGGAGGAACACCCGUGGCGAAGGCGGUCUGCUGGGCCACACCUGACGCUGAGGAGCGAAAGCUAGGGGAGCGAACGGGAUUAGAUACCCUGGUAGUCC
rnacentral:rRNA from 1 species